rnacentral:rRNA from 1 species
UGGGUCCAACCUCCCACCCGUGUUUAUUUUACCUUGUUGCUUCGGCGGGCCCGCCUUAACUGGCCGCCGGGGGGCUUACGCCCCCGGGCCCGCGCCCGCCGAAGACACCCUCGAACUCUGUCUGAAGAUUGUAGUCUGAGUGAAAAUAUAAAUUAUUUAAAACUUUCAACAACGGAUCUCUUGGUUCCGGCAUCGAUGAAGAACGCAGCGAAAUGCGAUACGUAAUGUGAAUUGCAAAUUCAGUGAAUCAUCGAGUCUUUGAACGCACAUUGCGCCCCCUGGUAUUCCGGGGGGCAUGCCUGUCCGAGCGUCAUUUCUGCCCUCAAGCACGGCUUGUGUGUUGGGCCCCGUCCUCCGAUCCCGGGGGACGGGCCCGAAAGGCAGCGGCGGCACCGCGUCCGGUCCUCGAGCGUAUGGGGCUUUGUCACCCGCUCUGUAGGCCCGGCCGGCGCUUGCCGAUCAACCCAAAUUUUUAUCCAGGUUGACCUCGGAUCAGGUAGGGAUACCCGCUGAACUUAAGCAUAUCAAUAAGCAGAGGAAUA